ACCUAAAACGUUGCCUCGGCGGGAACAGACGGCCCCGUAACACGGGCCGCCCCCGCCAGAGGACCCCCUAACUCUGUUUCUAUAAUGUUUCUUCUGAGUAAACAAGCAAAUAAAUUAAAACUUUCAACAACGGAUCUUUUGGCUCUGGCAUCGAUGAAGAACGCAGCGAAAUGCGAUAAGUAAUGUGAAUUGCAGAAUUCAGUGAAUCAUCGAAUCUUUGAACGCACAUUGCGCCCGCCAGUAUUCUGGCGGGCAUGCCUGUUCGAGCGUCAUUACAACCCUCAGGCCCCCGGGCCUGGCGUUGGGGAUCGGCGGAAGCCCCCUGCGGGCACAACGCCUUCCCCCAAAUACAGUGGCGGUCCCGCCGCAGCUUCCAUUGCGUAGUAGCUAACACCUCGCAACUGGAGAGCGGCGCGGCCACGCCGUAAAACACCCAACUUCUGAAUGUUGACCUCGAAUCAGGUAGGAAUACCCGCUGAACUUAAGCAUAUCAUAAGC
rnacentral:rRNA from 1 species